UAAAGGUAUUUUUACCUAAGAUUUUUAUUUUAGUUUAUUUUUUAUGUAAAAUUUAGUUAGAAAAAUUUAAUUUUAAAAAAAGAGUUUACGUUGAUUUGCAGUGGUAAGAUUUGUUAAUUUAGGGGAUUAAGAAACAGUAAAUUUUAUAGUUUAAACAAAAUUUGUGCCAGCAGUUGCGGUUACACAAAUUAGGCAAUAAAAAUAUUUUAGUGGUAGUUAGUUGAAACCAAAAGUUUAUAAGAGGAUUUGUUAGGUGAAAUUUUAAGUCUUUAUAAAUUUGAAAAUUAGUUAGUGAAGCUAAGAAAAUUUUUAAAAAACUAGGAUUAGAUACCCUAUUAUUAAAAAAGUAAAUUUUCAAACUAGGCUAUUAUUAGAUAUAUUCUUUAAAACUGAAAAAAUGGCGGUAUUUUAGUCUAUUUAGAGGAACCUGUUCUGUAAUUGAUAAUCCACAAUUUGCCUCACUUAUUUUAUUAGUAUUCAUAUCGUUGUAGGUUGAGUAUUUUUUAAGAAUAGAUAUUCGUGAUUCUAAGGAGAAAGAAAUCAAAUCAAGAUGUAGCUUUUAAGUAAGAAGAAAUGGGUUACAAUAAAUUUAUUUAUAUGGAUUAAUUUUUUAAAUGAAAUUUUGAAGGUGGAUUUAAUAGUAAUUUUAAGGAAAUUUUUAAAAUGAUUUUAGCUCUGAGAUAUGUACAUAUCGCCCGUCGCUUUCAUUUUAAAAUGAAAUAAGUCGUAACAAAGUAGAGGUACCGGAAGGUGCCUCUAGAAGCCA
rnacentral:ncRNA from 1 species